AUUACACGGUGAGGCGGAAGUUAAAAAAUCAUUAAAUCUUCCUGGUUUGGACAUGAGAUUUUACUGAGAAUGAAAAUUCUUUAUCUCCUCAUCCUUAGCGCCGUCAGGUUUAUUCAGGAAAGUUACCAGGAGGACCCAUGUACAGAAUACAGUGAAAUCUCCGACCUAUUGAAAAGAAGUCCAUCCUACAAACAGGAUGUGAUGCCUCUCUGUGACAAUCACCUGACUACUGGCUGGUACAGGGCAGGAUACCUUAAAAUGCCAACAUCUCCACCUCCUCUUGGAUCUUGUGGGACUUAUUAUCCAUACUGGUUGAAAGGU